rnacentral:rRNA from 1 species
GAUGAACGCUGACAGAAUGCUUAACACAUGCAAGUCGACUCGAGUCUUCGGACUUGGGUGGCGCACGGGUGAGUAACGCGUAAAGAACUUGCCUCUUAGACCGGGACAACAUCUGGAAACGGAUGCUAAUACCGGAUAUUAUGGUUUUUUCGCAUGGAGGAAUCAUGAAAGCUAGAUGCGCUAAGAGAGAGCUUUGCGUCCCAUUAGCUGGUUGGUGAGGUAACGGCCCACCAAGGCAAUGAUGGGUAGCCGGCCUGAGAGGGUGAACGGCCACAAGGGGACUGAGACACGGCCCUUACUCCUACGGGAGGCAGCAGUGGGGAAUAUUGGACAAUGGACCGCAAGUCUGAUCCAGCAAUUCUGUGUGCACGAUGACGUUUUUCGGAAUGUAAAGUGCUUUCAGUCGGGAAGAAGUCAGUGACGGUACCAACAGAAGAAGUGACGGCUAAAUACGUGCCAGCAGCCGCGGUAAUACGUAUGUCACAAGCGUUAUCCGGAUUUAUUGGGCGUAAAGCGCGUCUAGGUGGUUAUAUAAGUCUGAUGUGAAAAUGCAGGGCUCAACUCUGUAUUGCGUUGGAAACUGCCUUACUAGAGUACUGGAGAGGUAGGCGGAACUACAAGUGUAGAGGUGAAAUUCGUAGAUAUUUGUAGGAAUGCCGAUGGGGAAGCCAGCCUACUGGACAGAUACUGACGCUAAAGCGCGAAAGCGUGGGUAGCAAACAGG